rnacentral:rRNA from 1 species
AAUUAACGCUGGCGGCAUGCCUAACACAUGCAAGUCGCACGAGAAAGCCCGGUUCGCCGGGCGAGUAAAGUGGCGCACGGGUGAGUAACGCGUGGAUAAUCUACCUCUUUCUGGGGGAUAACGCACCGAAAGGUGCGCUAAUACCGCAUAACCCGGUCGGUUUUCGGAUUGAUCGGUAAAGGUGGCCUCUUCAUGAAAGCUACCGGGAAGAGACGAGUCCGCGUCCCAUUAGCUAGUUGGUAGGGUAAUGGCCUACCAAGGCGACGAUGGGUAGCUGGUCUGAGAGGACGAUCAGCCACACUGGAACUGAAACACGGGCCAGACUCCUACGGGAGGCAGCAGUGGGGAAUCUUGCACAAUGGGGGAAACCCUGAUGCAGCGACGCCGCGUGAGCGAUGAAGCCCUUCGGGGUGUAAAGCUCUUUCGGCAGGGAAGAUUAUGACGGUACCUGCAUAAGCAGCUGCGGCUAACUACGUGCCAGCAGCCGCGGUAAUACGUAGGCAGCGAGCGUUGUUCGGAGUCACUGGGCGUAAAGGGUGUGUAGGCGGCUUUUUAAGUUUGGUGUGAAAUCUCCCGGCUCAACUGGGAGGGUGCGCCGAAUACUGAAAGGCUAGAGUGCGGGAGAGGAGAGUGGAAUUCCUGGUGUAGCGGUGAAAUGCGUAGAUAUCAGGAGGAACACCGGUGGUGUAGACGGCUCUCUGGACCGUAACUGACGCUGAGACACGAAAGCGUGGGUAGCAAACAGGAUUAGAUACCCUGGUAGUCCACGCCCUAAACGAUGCAUAUUUGGUGUGGGUCAUUCAGUUGAUCUGUGCCGGAGCUAACGCGUUAAAUAUGCCGCCUGGGGAGUACAGUCGCAAGGCUG